AUGGAUAGUGGUAGCCUCAAAGAAGUCCUGGAGCCUGAGGGAUUUGUGGAGAAGAGGAAAGACACUACAAUGAUUCUCAGAGGAGAAGAUGAAUGGGUCUUUGGUUUUCCAUGGGAUAUGGACCUUGAUGGAGUUGGUCAGAUAUUCCAGAGUCAAGAGAGGAUCCCAUGAGCCAAAUCCAAACUUUACAGUAUUUUCCAUGGAGUUCGGGGCUGGGGCAUGAAGAACCAGUCAAUGAAAAGAAGAUGCUGGAUCCUUGUCCUUAGAGACCAGUUUCUCCCAGAAUUGGACCUGGAUCUGCUAAACCCAGAACUGGUGCUCCUUAUUGGGGUGGCAACCCUCCAAAUCAGCAUGCCUUUUACAUAUAAAGGACAGUACUAACAUACCAAUUUCUUAUACCUAGAAUAGCCUGAUGCAGGAGGAAAAU
rnacentral:lncRNA from 1 species